rnacentral:rRNA from 1 species
ACUCCUACGGGAGGCAGCAGUGGGGAAUAUUGCACAAUGGGCGCAAGCCUGAUGCAGCCAUGCCGCGUGUGUGAAGAAGGCCUUCGGGUUGUAAAGCACUUUCAGUCGUGAGGAAGGUGGUAGUGUUAAUAGCACUAUCAUUUGUACGUUAGCGACAGAAGAAGCACCGGCUAACUCCGUGCCAGCAGCCGCGGUAAUACGGAGGGUGCGAGCGUUAAUCGGAAUUACUGGGCGUAAAGCGCAUGCAGGUGGUUGUUAAGUCAGAUGUGAAAGCCCGGGGCUCAACCUCGGAAUAGCAUUUGAAACUGGCAGACUAGAGUACUGUAGAGGGGGUAGAAUUUCAGGUGUAGCGGUGAAAUGCGUAGAGAUCUGAAGGAAUACCGGUGGCGAAGGCGGCCCCUGGACAGAUACUGACACUCAGAUGCGAAAGCGUGGGAGCAAACAGGAUUAGAUACCCCUGGUAGGAUAGCG